UACGUAGGGGCCUAGCGUUGUCCGGAUUUAUUGGGCGUAAAGAGCUCGUAGGCGGUUUGGUGAGUCGGGUGUGAAAUCUCCACGCUCAACGUGGAGGGGCCACCCGAUACUGCCAUGACUAGAGUCCGGUAGGGGGAUCUGGAAUUCCUGGUGUAGCGGUGGAAUGCGCAGAUAUCUGGAGGAACACCGGUGGCGAAGGCGGCAUCCUGGACCGAGAUUGACGCUGAGGCGCGAAAGCCAGGGGAGCAAACGGG
rnacentral:rRNA from 1 species